CCUACGGGAGGCAGCAGUGGGGGAUAUUGCACAAUGGGGGAAACCCUGAUGCAGCGACGCCGCGUGGGUGAAGAAGCGCCUCGGCGCGUAAAGCUCUGUCAGCAGGGAAGAAAAUGACGGUACCUGAAGAAGAAGCCCCGGCUAACUACGUGCCAGCAGCCGCGGUAAUACGUAGGGGGCAAGCGUUAUCCGGAGUUACUGGGUGUAAAGGGGGCGCAGACGGGGAUGCAAGCCAGGAGUGAAAGCCUGGGGCCCAACCCCGGGACUGCUCUUGGAACUGCGUGGCUUGAGUGCAGGAGAGGCAGGCGGAAUUCCUGGUGUAGCGGUGAAAUGCGUAGAUAUCAGGAGGAACACCGGUGGCGAAGGCGGCCUGCUGGACUGCAACUGACGUUGAGGCCCGAAAGCGUGGGUAUCGAACAGGAUUAGAUACCCGUGUAGUC
rnacentral:rRNA from 1 species